rnacentral:rRNA from 1 species
UACGUAGGUGGCAAGCGUUAUCCGGAAUUAUUGGGCGUAAAGAGCGCGCAGGUGGUUGAUUAAGUCUGAUGUGAAAGCCCACGGCUUAACCGUGGAGGGUCAUUGGAAACUGGUCAACUUGAGUGCAGAAGAGGGAAGUGGAAUUCCAUGUGUAGCGGUGAAAUGCGUAGAGAUAUGGAGGAACACCAGUGGCGAAGGCGGCUUCCUGGUCUGUAACUGACACUGAGGCGCGAAAGCGUGGGGAGCAAACAGG